GAUACUUGUUGCACGGCUCUCUGCGUGGUGGUGUCCGGGGACUGCGAUUCCUUCAGCAGCUGCAGGAUCUGCUGGAGCCCCUGCUCGUCGGGCUUCCACUCGUACUCCAUCUUGGCUGCCUGGAAAACAGCAGACAACAGGCGGCCGCGACAUCGUGUUUGUAAGCAUCCUGCUUGUCUAACGGAAAACUAGAAACGGAAACUCACUUAGCACAACACUGGGUAUGAGUGCUGCUGGCACACAGCAUAGUGGUAACUGCCCAGAGGCACAGAGGACGGAAUAUUUCUGACUGCUGUAUAUCCCAGGACCUGCUUCCUUCCCUCCAGAGAGAAAUUCAGAAUCAGUGUUAAAACACAGUCACAGGAAUAAAAGUUACCCAUCAAAACAUAUGAUGGCCUUCUUCAUCCCACUCAAUCAGUGGAAAGCACCAGAAAUAAACUUGAAACACCACAUCUACAUACAUUAACAAGACAGAAGCUCACCAAAGACAGGAGAUUGGCGCAAACACUGAAGCCAAAAUUUGAUUUCUGUUUCUAUCCAAGCUUCAAAUGCACUCUAGACAUAAUCCAGUGGUAUCAAAACAAAUUGUAUUAUUUAAAAGUAACAUAUCCAAACAAAACAACACCCCACCAAAAUACAACCAAAAUACUGAGUUAGUCUGAUCUUUCUUGAUAACAUUUACCUUCUUAUAUUUGAAUAUCUACUAAGAGUGCAGAUAUUUGUUUUGUUGCCAAAAAUACUCUUCCUCUGUCAGGCUUGACUAGUGGGUCAGGCUAAAAUGACACUUUUCAGUCAUUUCUCAUAAAAGGAUACAGAAGCUAUCUGCAAGAUAAGGCAGAACUACCCUGCUCAGCAAGGAAUGAGCUAUCAGUCCUAGAAGUCAGAAACUGACUGCCACCACCAGACCUGUAAUCUCAGGCCCGAGUACUUUCACAGGAUAUACAGAGAACAACACGCUGCUCAUUCAACAAAACAUCUGCAAUACUGUUCUGUGAAAAAUUCAGCUCUGCACAAGAGCAAGGUGUGCAGGAGCACAGGGCCGGAGCUGCCCAGGGCUGCACCCGCCCCACGCCGGGAGCUGCGCUGUGCGUGGCCCAGGGCAGACGGUCUGGGUCUGUGG